rnacentral:lncRNA from 1 species
AUAUAUUAGGUGUGGUGAUUAAAUAACCUGAGAGGUUAUAAUAUGGGAGAAUAUUAGUAUAUAAAUGUAUAUACUGACAUUAAGAGAUUUAUUUUAUAUAUCUCCAAUAAUUAAUUUUAUAACCAAGUAUAAUUUGGUUUAUGAAAUUAAAAGGGCAUGAGUAACGAAUUUAUUUUCUAGAGUGAGAGAUGUAAACCCUAAUUUAAAGAUAAGGGUAGAAUGGAAUAGAAUUAAAAAUAAUGGACUAUAAUAAGGUUAUAGCCCAAUUAAUUUGAAUAGAG